GAUCACUGCUAUUGGAAUUCGGCUAAGGCAUGCGAGUCGAGAGGGUUCGGCCCUCGGCGAACGGCUCAGUAACACGUGGAUAAUCUGCCCUUAGGUGGGGGAUAAUCUCGAGAAAUUGAGCAUAAUACCCCAUAACUCUAGGAUGCUGGAAUGCUUCUAAAGUUAAAGCUCCGGCGCCUAAGGAUGAGUCUGCGGCCUAUCAGGUUGUAGUGAGUGUAACGGACUCACUAGCCGACGACGGGUACGGGUCCUGGAAGGGAGAGCCCGGAGAUGGACUCUGAGACACGAGUCCAGGCCCUACGGGGCGCAGCAGCUACGAAAACUUCACAAUGCGGGCAACCGCGAUGAGGGAAUUCCAAGUGCUAAUACUUUGUAUUAGCUGUUUACUUGCCUAAAAAGCAGGUAGAGUAAGGGCUGGGUAAGACUGGUGCCAGCCGCCGCGGUAAUACCAGCAGCUCAAGUGGUGAUCGUUUUUAUUGGGCCUAAAGCGUCCGUAGCCGGUCUGGUAAACCCUUGGGCAAAUCGGGCAGCUUAACUGUCCGACUUCUGAGGAGACUGCUAGACUUGGGACCGGGAGAGGUUAGAGGUACUCUUAGGGUAGGGGUGAAA
rnacentral:rRNA from 1 species